AUGAAAAAUAUCAUCAUAAAGUAUAACAUUUUACAAAAAGAACAUGAUAAUCUUAUAACAGAAAAUUCGAAUAAAGAACAUACGUUAUUAGAAAAGGAACAAAAAGUGAAUAUAGUAGAAAAGAAGAACGAAAUAUACAAGAACAAUGUGACAUUCUUAGAUCAUAAAUUGCAGGAAUUACAAAAUAACGUGGACCAUGAGAAAACGAAAAAUACUCAACUAAAAGAAGAUGUGGAAAAAAAAGAAAAUGACAUUAUUAAACGUGAUUCUAUUAUACAAAUUCUUUACAAUAAAAUAAAAGAUAAUGAAAGACAAUUACGUUUAUUUGAGAGUGAAAAUUUGUCCUUAAAAAACCACAAAAAAAAAUUGAACAAAUUAUUGGAUAAUAGAAUAACUGAAAUGAACAAUAUUGAAAAUGACUUGUAUGAACAAUUAUAUAAUUUAAUAAUAAAAAGAAAAAUAAAAGAAAGAGACGAUUUACGUUUUGAUGGACAUCCUCAUUCGUUUCUUUUAAAAUCAUUUUGGUCUGGAUAUAUAAACAUAUAUAAAAACAUAUUAAAAGCGCGAGAUCCAUAUUUGUAUGGAGGAAAUAAAGAUUAUCGUUUUAUUUGUGUCUACGAUACAGAUCUAUUUUUGGAUGUAAAUCAGGAAAAUGCGAAUAAGUGGUAACUGCUUUUUAUGCUGUUAAUAUGAAAUGAAAUAUAUAUGCGCGUAUAAUUAUAUGUGAUAAUUCGUGAUUGU
rnacentral:lncRNA from 1 species